rnacentral:tRNA from 1 species
ACCUGGGUGGCUCAGUGGUUGAGCAUCUGACUUUGGGUCAGAUGGUGAUCCCGAGGUC